UUUUUUGUUUUUUUUUUUUUUAGUAGAGACGGGGUUUCUCCAUGUUGGUCAGGCUGGUCUUGAACUCCUGACCUCAGGUGAUCCACCUGCCUUGGCCUCCCAAAGUGCUGGGAUUACAGGCAUGAGCCACUGCACCAGCCAGCAAUAACUUUCUAAACCUGACUUAGCCAUAUGCUGAGGUGGUCAUGUUUAUUAACAGCUGGAUAUAUUUGUCAAAACCUAUCAAAAGUAUUUUAAGAGGAUAAGUUUUAUUCUUUGUAAAGUGUAUCUCAAUAUACCUGGCUUUAAAAAUAAAUGAGUUAAUAAAAUUAUCCAUAGGUGGGGAAAGAGAAUCGCUAACACCUCUCUUAAUAUAUCUGGGGGCUGUGAAACUCUUAUAUGUUUAAUGACAAACAGAUUUUUGUUCAUGUUAUUUGGAAUAAGAGAGCUUUGGACUUGCAUGAAUACAAUACUGCCAUUUGGAGCUGCCUCCUGAGUAGUCAGGUCUACAGGCACAUGCCACCAUGCCCAGCUAAUUGUUUUGUUUUUUAUUGAGAUGAGGUCUUGCUAUGUUACUUAGGCUGAUCUCAAACUCCUGGGCUCAAACAAUCCUUCUGCCUCAGCUUCCCAAAGUGCUGAGAUUACAGACAUGAGUCACUGCACUCAGCCUACUUGAGGAUCUUGAAUGCUCAGAUUCCCCAGAACUCCCUGGACCUGCAGAAGUGGCCCAGUCCCCCUUGUUGAAACAUAAAACCCCAUUUCCCCCUUCACUCUUGCUUGCUUGAAAGCUAUUCAGUAGCCUCAAAACAAGGCAAGUAACUUCCAGGAGGAUGCUGGCCCAUCUCAGGAUCUGCCCUCUACUACCUACCUGGCCACCAGACCCAUAACCCCUCUGGAAUCAAGGCUCAAGAGAGAAGUUUAAUGAUUUGCCCGGCACUUACACAGGUGAUGUGUGACAGAGGCGAGGCUGUAAUCCAAAGUGGAACAAGUGAUCAGAUUCUUUACGGGAAGCUGCAGACACUAAGGCAGUUUUCCUU
rnacentral:lncRNA from 10 species